rfam:Picea glauca, whole genome shotgun sequence.
UGUCAUAAGAUUUCCCAAAAAUCAAUCUAAAUGAAGAGGGUGUUGAAAUCAAGGAAAAAUUUGAGGGGAUUCCAUAACUUUUUCCCCUUCAAGAAAUAUCACAAACAACCUUCCAUCCAAAGUCAACAAAAUUGAAACCCAUUUUUGAGAAUUGUUGGUGCCUCAUCCUAUAACUGACGGCAACAUUAGGAAAUCCGGAGACGUCAUCGGGGGCCCUAGGAAGAGUCAUAUUUUCUUUUUAACAACUUUCCCACCCUGAAAUCAGCUCAACUGGAGAUAGGUUCCAGCAGCUGGAACAACAUCGCACGUCUUGCAGUGUCCAGUGCAGCCUCGGUGGCCCUUGAAAAUCUGGAGGACCGAGUACUGUCCAUGCCCGGGCGUACUCAUAACGGCAUCAGCUCUCCAAGGUGAACAAAUUCU